GACGAACGCUGGCGGCGUGCUUAACACAUGCAAGUCGAACGGGUCUGCCCUGUUUUUUGCGGGGUGGGUCAGUGGCGAACGGGUGAGUAACACGUGAGUAACCUGCCCCUCACUUCUGGAUAACCGCUUGAAAGGGUGGCUAAUACGGGGUGUUCUGGCUGUGCCGCAUGGUGUGGCUGGGAAAGAUUCACUUUUGUGGUGUUUUGGUGGGGGAUGGGCUCGCGGCCUAUCAGCUUGUUGGUGGGGUGAUGGCCUGCCAAGGCUUUGACGGGUAGCCGGCCUGAGAGGGUGGGCGGUCACACUGGGACUGAGAUACGGCCCAGACUACUGCGGGAGGCAGCAGUGGGAGGUAUUGCACAAUGGGCGGAAGCAUGAUGCAGCGACGGCGCGUGAGGGAUGGAGGCCUUCGGGUUGUGAACCUCUUUCGCCGGUGAAGAAGGUCCUGCUCUUUGGGGUGGGGUUGACGGUAGCCGGGUUAUGAAGCGCCGGCUAACUACGUG
rnacentral:rRNA from 1 species